UACGUAGGGGGCAAGCGUUGUCCGGAAUUAUUGGGCGUAAAGAGCGUGUAGGCGGUCCGGUAAGUCAGCUGUGAAAGUCAAGGGCUCAACCCUUGAAUGCCGGUUGAUACUGUCGGGCUAGAGUCCGGAAGAGGCGAGUGGAAUUCCCCGGUGUAGCGGUGAAAUGCGCAGAUAUCGGGAGGAACACCAAUGGCGAAGGCAGCUCGCUGGGACGGUACUGACGCUGAGACGCGAAAGCGUGGGAGCAACAGG
rnacentral:rRNA from 1 species